GUAGGUGGCGAGCGUUAUCCGGAAUGAUUGGGCGUAAAGGGUGCGUAGGUGGCAGAUCAAGUCUGGAGUAAAAGGUAUGGGCUCAACCCGUACUGGCUCUGGAAACUGAUCAGCUAGAGAACAGAAGAGGACGGCGGAACUCCAUGUGUAGCGGUAAAAUGCGUAGAUAUAUGGAAGAACACCGGUGGCGAAGGCGGCCGUCUGGUCUGAUUCUGACACUGAAGCACGAAAGCGUGGGGAGCAAAUAGGAUUAGAUACCCUAGUAGUCCACGCCGUAAACGAUGAGAACUAGGUGUUGGGGGAAUAACUCAGUGCCGCAGUUAACGCAGUAAGUUCUCCGCCUGGGGAGUAUGCACGCAAGUGUGAAACUCAAAGGAAUUGACGG
rnacentral:rRNA from 1 species